rnacentral:rRNA from 1 species
AACGAACGCUGGCGGCAGGCCUAACACAUGCAAGUCGAGCGAGAUCUUCGGAUCUAGCGGCGGACGGGUGAGUAACGCGUGGGAACGUACCUUUUGCUACGGAAUAGCCUCGGGAAACUGGGAGUAAUACCGUAUGUGCCCUUCGGGGGAAAGAUUUAUCGGCAAAAGAUCGGCCCGCGUUGGAUUAGGUAGUUGGUGAGGUAACGGCUCACCAAGCCGACGAUCCAUAGCUGGUUUGAGAGGAUGAUCAGCCACACUGGGACUGAGACACGGCCCAGACUCCUACGGGAGGCAGCAGUGGGGAAUCUUAGACAAUGGGGGAAACCCUGAUCUAGCCAUGCCGCGUGAGCGAUGAAGGCCUUAGGGUUGUAAAGCUCUUUCAGCUGGGAAGAUAAUGACGGUACCAGCAGAAGAAGCCCCGGCUAACUCCGUGCCAGCCGCCGCGGUAAUAC